CAGAAUCAGUGUGUCUCUGAAAACCUUUGAAGAUGAAGUUCCUAUUUGUUCUGUCGCUGAUAAUGGUGAUGAUAUUUAUCACUAUCGGAGUGUCGGAUGCUUUGCCGAAGCCGGAAGGAAACUCCCAUUUUAUAGCGAAACCAUUAGAAGACGUAGACUUUAGCAACGAUCCAAAAAUACGCAAAUUACACGAGGAAUGGCAAAAUGAAACGGAGUACCUGUAGCCUGCCACAUAAGAAAGAGGACAUCACAACAGUCAACACAAAUGUUUUAAAUAUCUACAUGGUUACUAACAAAUAAACGUAGGUAUAUUUUAUUAUA